GUACAUAGGUUUCGUCUGAAAUCUUAUAGGAACAGAAUCAUGGUUGCCCAUUAAACGUAGGGUGAUCUUAAAUCUUCUCCCAACCUAGUCCUAUCAUUGUUACCCAAAUAUCGGAUCAGCACACAAGCAAGCAAGCAAACAAGAAAUAAAUUCUAACUCAGAUUCUUGAUGCUCCCAAGUAUAAGGCCUCACCUGCUUGGUAGAUGAUUGGGGGAUUCCCUAAUCUGGCUGCGAUUUGGUCGCCUAAUCCCCAUGGAAUUUCUCCUCUCUCUAACUCCCCCUUCCGCCAUGCCCCUUGCAUGGGCGCUGCCGCCUCGACCCGCCGCUUGGAACAGCACCGGUGGAAUCCUCUCUUCCACCCUCACACUUUCUCCCAACAGCGCCACCUCCUUCCUAACUUUCUUGCUUCCUCUCUUCGUCCUAAUGUUUCGGCUUCCCAGAGACAGCCAUGGCUCAGAGCUUCGUGGUAUGGAGAAUUGCUAUGGUGGCGAGAAAUAGAGGCUCAUGGUCUCCUACUAUUCCCUUCCCCUUGUCGUCUUAGGUGCGUGAUGUUUCUAGGUCACUUCCAUGGAGAAGAGUUCAGUCUUGCUGUGGAGAAUGGCUACAGCAGCAAGAUGGAUAGGUUUGCGGUCUCUUAAAGGUCUAACCGUUUACAUUUUUUUUCCUUCUUCAGUCGAUUUCCCUUGCUCUUAUCUGAUUUUUACGAAGGCCACCGCGUGUCCUAGCUAUGCUACGUGUCUCUCCCUGAAAUGGCUGAAUAGCCAUCAGCCUGACUUGUUGUGCCAGCUCCUGCUU
rnacentral:lncRNA from 1 species